CUCAGCCCCCUCGGCUCGGCGGCCCCGCCCUCCGCCUCCCGGCGCCGAACCGGCGGCCCACCAGCGCCCCUGGCCCGCUAGGCAGCGGCCCUGCACCCGCCACGGCUCCGCCCUCCGCCUUAGCCCGGCUCUCUCGCCCGCCUCCCGGCGGAGCGCCGCCCUCUCCGCGGCCCUUCGCCCUGCUCUCCCCCCGCCCGAGGGCGGCCCCUGGGAGGUGGAGGGGGGUCUCGAGGUACAGCUCGCAGGGCUUGAGGUGGCGGGAAGCAGACCUGCGGCGGAGCUAGUACCUCAGCGGUGCAGGCCUGGCUGAGGGCGGAGCUCCAGAACUAAUAUUCCAGAAUAUUAUUCUCUUUGGGCCUGACCUGAGUUAAGAAACAUCAUUCUCAGUAGACAGCUGUUUGUGAUCUAUCAAUCUGCUGGAAAUUAAAGGGACUCUAUAACUGAAGAUCAUCAGUUAUCCCACAGGCUACACAGCAUUCUUUUACAAGUAAAUGUUCCUCUCAGUUACUGACUGAUGUAUGCAUUUUUGGCAAUUAUCCAAUCCCUUUUCUUAUUGCUCAGUUGAAUAAUUGUCUACGCCUUUCAAUAAACACUCCAGAAAUGAGUUAUUACACCAGUUGGUUAGAAAGAAAAGCAUAGCAUAUUUCUCUGCCUGUAAUAUUGUUGCUCUGUGCCAGUGCAGUGUCUGUGUGUUCCAUCCUUAAGGUCAACUACAGAGACACAAGUAGGUCUCCAGAACCUCACAGUCUGUUGCUUUGUUCACCAGGCACCACUAAAAUAUAUAUAGUUGGCUACCACAGUCAGGCAAGCAGUCCCAAUAACAUUAUUUUAUUUUCUAGCUCAUCCCCUUUGCACUCUCCUUCCACUAAGUUUACCAGUUGUGUUAGAAGUUUAAGACACAACAUUUUAUUCUUCCCGUCUGCUUUGGCAGCUUGGCAGAAGGGAAAGCAAAUAUGCAUGUAAGCAAAAAAAGGAAAGAUGCACAAGAUGCAGGACAGCCAUUUAAGAUACCUGUGUC